CAGUCGCCGCGGUAAAACGUAGGUGGCAAGCGUUGUCCGGAAUUAUUGGGCGUAAAGCGCACGUAGGCGGUUAUUCAAGUCAGAGGUGAAAGCCCGGGGCUCAACCCCGGAACUGCCUUUGAAACUAGAUGACUGGAAUCCUGGAGAGGUCAGUGGAAUUCCGAGUGUAGAGGUGAAAUUCGUAGAUAUUCGGAAGAACACCAGUGGCGAAGGCGACUGACUGGACAAGUAUUGACGCUGAGGUGCGAAAGCGUGGGGAGCAAACAGGAUUAGAUACCCCCGUAGUCCCUGUCUCUUAUAC
rnacentral:rRNA from 1 species